GACGGAGGAUGCAAGCGUUAUCCGGAAUGAUUGGGCGUAAAGCGUCCGCAGGUGGCAGUUCAAGUCUGCUGUCAAAGCCCGGGGCUUAACUUCGGAAAGGCAGUGGAAACUGAACAGCUAGAGUAUGGUAGGGGCAGAGGGAAUUCCUGGUGUAGCGGUGAAAUGCGUAGAGAUCAGGAAGAACAUCGGUGGCGAAGGCGCUCUGCUGGGCCAUAACUGACACUCAGGGGCGAAAGCUAGGGGAGCGAAUGGG
rnacentral:rRNA from 1 species